GAUUUUCCAAGGCCAGAUGCAGGGCUGGAUGAGGAAAGUGACCAACUCAGCCAAGAAUAGACCCUUGAGCAGGCCAGCCAAUACCUGACCAGAUCCUUUGUCCUGUGUACCACCAAUGAGAAUAGGCGAGAUAAUCCUGUUGCUGAAGUCUGCCCUCGGUAACAAAUAAAAGUUGUGUUUUUGGGUUCAGGGUUGCCUCAUCCCACGUGGAUGACCAAUCCCACGUACGGGGAUCAUUAAACUUCUUGCCAUUGCAGCAGUUUCUCAAGUUGGGUUCUGUGGGUUGUGCCCCUGAAGUUAGGCCAAUUCGGUGGUCUUACAACAUUUGGUGCAUUGGCUGGGAACUGCACUCCCCCAGACCACAAUUGGCAAAGAGUUUGAAGGUAAGCUCGAGCAAACCUGUAUUCUGUGUUCUGUGUUACUUUCUGUUUUGUCUCAGUGUCAUGUUGUCUCGUCUUUGACUUAUGUUGUCUGCCUUCACUGUCUGAGGGGUUGGAGUCCCUUCAGAGAGGGGUUAGAGUUCCCUCAUGGGUGGUCUCAGGCCAGGUGAGACCAAAAUGUUUCUGAGGAAUUAGAGUCCCUUCAGAGAGAAAUUAGAGUCCCCUUAGUGGCCGCUGUGGGUCCAGUGAGGGGCUUAUGGUUGUGAAGGGCAGAAAUGCUAGUUAUCACAGGGCACAGGCUCCAGAGGGAGGGAAUCUGGAGGACACUCUAGAAUCCCAUUGGGAGGUAGAAUCAGAAACAGUCCACCUAACCCGUAGGCAGCUAAAGUUUCAGCCAGGUACUUAAAGUAUCAGGCAUUUGUAGAAAUCGUGUAUAUGAGGCCUUGUCUUGGUCUUAUUUGUUUUCUGUGGUAUUGUAGGGUCUUUUUGGCUUUGUUUGUUCUUUGCAUGUGGACUGACGUCUGUGUUUGAAAUCAUGGAUUGUCGACUGUGUUUGAGAUUAUGGAACUGCUUGUUUUGUUUGUUUGUCAAAGAAUUUUACUUGGUCUUCUUGGUGCAUAACUUGGAAAUAAUUUGCUUGAGAGAAAUUGUUUUCUGCCAAGGAGUUUUGUCUUUCUCUCUUGAGCCUCCUCCCCAAGGAGAAGAGGAGAGUGGCAGGUGUAUAGCCUGCUAGCAAACGAGCUACAGUCUGUGCUCAGCAGAGGCCCAGCUUAGGCCCAACUGGUGAGAGAGGAGUUUCUAGGAGAUGGGGCCGCCGGCCAGGAUUGAUGCUUUGACAGCAAAAAUGUAGCAUUGUGCAGCAUGUGGAUUUAGUGAUUCUUUUAAAGACUAUUAUGAGACUUUUGUCCUUGAAAAAAUUCUAAUCUCUGUGACCAGACCUUCAACACUUGCUCACAGAAGGAGAGCGUUCAUUAAAAUAAUUUUCUUUGAGGAAUCCUGCCUCCCUCUCCUUAUCUGCUGGUACAAUUGCAAGAGAGGAGUCUGUUUCCAGCAUUAAGUCACCUUCUGCUUCAUGAAGAGUGCCUCUUAUGCUAUCCCCGCAGCAGGAGAAAGUCUUGGCAUGGGCUCUUCAGCUUACUCCAACUGAAGGAUGUUGCGAAGGUCAAGAUCAAUGUUUUAUUUUCCAUGUGUCUUUAACCCAGUGAGACAGAUUGGUGAAGGGCUGGGGGAACUGCUACUGAAGUCUUGGAAUUCAGAGUCAUGGGAAGGGCUAUAGUUCUAUUAAAUAUCAGAACUCCAGUGUUAGCAAUCUUUUUAUUGGAUGUAAGAGGCAGGAAGCCCAGCUCAACUAUGACCUGAUAGACCCAGGUGAACCAGUUAUAUCUGACUAUAGAUUACUUUCUGAUACCCAAGGCUUCAAUUAGAUCACACACCCCUGGGCGAGCCUCCCUUCAACACUCUAGAAGCUCAAAUGCUUUUCUCCCCUGGUCUCUUGACUCAAGAUCAUGAGGCAUGUCUGACAGCCUGGAAGAAACUCCCCACCCCCGAAAUCUGGCUUUUCUUCUGAGCUCACCAAGGUGUUCCGGGAGCAGAUGAGUCAUACAAUUCUUUUGUCAGCCACUUGGCAUCUAGCACCCAGGUCCUAACCAUCUCUCCAUCCUUUUGUUAUUAGUUCUUAAUGGAAGCCUAGUGUCAUUUAGAGGCUGGGUCUCUUGAGAGGCAGAGCCACUGAGCUGACACUGAAGGGAGGUACUCCUUAAGGGCAAAUCUAAGUCCAGAGAGACAGCCAGUAACAGACCAGCUGUCCCUCUUCUCGCCUUUCUGUUUCACCGGCACAAGGCUUGUGCUUAUUUUUGCACUGGCCUCAUCCUCCAAAGAAAACUUCCUUAUUUAGCUGUGUGACAAAUGCUAUUUGUUCUCUUCCAUGAACCUCUAUUUUCCAGACUCUCUUCUUUAUCUCACCAGCCCACUUGAGAUGCUUGAUAUUAGCUGUUACAGGUCCUCUUUACCACUGAGGAAACCAGAAUCCUACUACAGGCCAGAAAGAAUGUUCCAGGCCUGGAUGGAAGGCCUCAUUCUUACCUGUUGACUUCAAUAUGCAUGAAGGUAGGGAGUGCCCAAGGUCAACCAUCAGACUCCAAUGGUGGGUCUCUGAGGGACUGGAAAUUUGGCUAAGGUAAGGGAAGUGGUCCAGGGGCACACAGAAUCCCCCUGAGUGUUCUUGGAACAUUUGAUGGAGGCUUUUUGUCAGUUCAAGCUCUAUAAUCCUACACAAAAAGAACACAAGAUCACUGUUACUGUGGCCUUCAUAGACCAAUAAGCUAAAGAUAUAAAGAGAAAGUUACAGAAAUUUGAAGGGUUGCUGAGAGUGUUAGUACCAGUUGCAGAGAAAAUAAAGUUGAAAUGUGUUUCAGGGUCUGUGCACAUAAGUGGACAGCAUCUAGUAGCUGUAGAGGAAGAUGCAGAAGAUAUCAUAACAGAGAGACUGAGGAAGAGAAAGAGGAAAAACGCAAAAAGAAUAGGAAGCUAGAGAGCUGAAGAGAGAUAAAAGACAGGAGAGGAACUUAUACUGGCCACAGUAGUUAGAGAAGUAGGAAGACAGAACCUGGCAACAGCAGAGAAUUCCUGGCUAAAGAUCAGUGUGCCUAUUGUAAAAAGGUCACUGGGUCAGGGACUGUCACAGGAAAAAGAAGAGGGGCCUCUCCAGUGUCCCCAAAGGCAAGCCUCUCGGUCCUAGAGUGCUGGUUAUGCAAAGAUGGAAGGGAAGCCCACCCAGUGUUUUGUGAAUACAGGGACCCAACACUCUGUGCUCCUACACCCAAAUGGACCAGUGUCCAGGAAAGAACUUGGGUACAGUGGGCUACCAGCAACAAACAAUACUCAUGGCCUACCCAAAGAACAGUGGGCCUUGUCAUGGUCCAGGUGUCCUACCUGUUCCUUGUGAUCCCAGACUUCACCUAUGAAUCUGAACCCUGCAACCCUGCUCUGGGAACCUGACCUAGGACCCACCCCCUUUCAUAACUGUCAGCAGGUGCUCACUGAAGCACAUGGGUAACAUAAAGAUCUGACUGACUAACCACUAGAGGAGGCAGAAGCCACCUGGUUCACGGAUGGGAGCAGCUUCUUAGAGGAAGGAAAUAAAGGGGCUGGGGCGGCAGUGUUAGAUGGAAACAGAGUCAUCUGGGCUCAGGUCCUACCAGAAGGCACCUCUACUCAGAGGGCAGAGCUCAUUGCCCUCACCAAAGCCCUUGAGCUGGGAAAAGGGAAAGCGACUCAACAUCUAUAUGGACAACAGGUAUGCCAUUGCCAAGGCUCACCAGCAGAGGGGCCCGCUGACAUCUGAGGGCAAAGAGAUUAAAAAACAAAGAAGAGAUUCUGACUCUGUUAAGGGCCUUCCACGACCCAGCCAAGACAAGGAAGGGACUCAGGUACACCUGAAUGGGAAAGAUCCUGAUACAAAAACAGGCAAAGGCCAUGAUAAAACAAAUUCAUCAAUGGACUCACUUAGGGGUAAGCAAACUCAUCCAGACUUUUUCAAAAACCAAAUAUUAUGUACCAGGCCUCUGGUAUCUCGUGGAACAGAUAGUACACCAAUAUGUACUAUGCCAAAAGUUAAAUGUUUACAGGAAUAAAGUUGACUCUGACAGAAGGCUCUGUGGGGAUCGGCUUGGGGCCUACUGGGGAGUGGACUUCACUAAGAUAGAGCCAGGAAAAUAUGGUUACAAAUAUCUCCUAGCAUUUGUAGAUACUUUCUCAGGAUGAGUAGAAGCUUUCCCCAACAAGCAAGAGACAGCCUCAGUAGUCAUAAAGAAGAUACUGGAAGAAAUCUUCCCCUGGUUUGGAGUGCCCAAAGUAAUCGGAUCAGACAAUGGUCCUGCCUUCAUUGCCCAGGUAAGCCAGGGUGUGACCAGGUAUUUAGACAUCGAUUGGAAAUUACAUUGCAUCUACAGACCUCAAAGUUCAAGACAGGUAGAGAGAAUGAAUAAAAUUCUAAAAGAGACCCUGACUAAAUUGACCAUGGAGACUGGCAUAGACUGGGUGGUGCUCUUCCCCUUGACCCUUUUCCUAAGUUAAGAAUACCCCUUUCAGAUUCAGCAUUAACCCCUUUGAGAUCUCAUAUGGGGCCCCAGCUCCUCUGACUGUAUUAGAUGAUGUUAUUGAACAAACAUGUCAUAGUAAUAAUGAUUUUAUGCCAGGCUAAAAGGACUAACGAUGAUACAGAAAGAAGUCUGGUUGCAGCUGGCACCAGCCUAUGCCCUGGGGACCCCUAAUCACAAGUUCCAGGUCAGAGACUCUGUCUACAUACUACAACACCGGGCCCAGACACUUGAGCCUCACUGCUAAGGACUGUACCUGGUGCUACUGACCACCUCAACAGUUGUCAAGUGUCAGUCCUCACCAGCCUUGUACUAGCUGUUGGGGUUAGGGGUCUGGGACCUAAAAGGACACUCAGAUCUUUAAAAAGCUCCCUAGACCUGCGCCUCAGAUAAGUAGAUACAUCAGAGACAUGACUGGGGGGUUCCUGUAAUGCUCACUUGAGAAGUGUGCUUUGGAAACAAGAAUUUUAAGUUUGCCCUGGAUUCCAUCAAGAUAGGUCACUCAAUCACACAAGUGCGAGGGUAUGCUUGAUUUCUAUUGCAAAUGAUGUAACAUGCCCUUACUAUGAAGGCAUUGCAUAUGUUAGUACUCCUAACACUUCUUGCGCCUGUGCCUUAGGAAUCACAACCUGUAUAAGUUUAGAAGUUCUAAAAGGCAAUUAUGACUUUGGUGUGUUAGUUCAGAUAGUGUCUAGACUUUUAUACCAUCCUUAUGAAGAUGUACUGAACUAUUGAGAUCCUGAUGCUAGAGACUUAAUAAGGCACAAAAGAGAGUUGUAGAUUACUCUGACAAUUAUCUUAGGGCUAGAAUUAGGUACUGCAAGGGCAGCUAUGGGGUCAUCUGCCAUUGCCCUCCAACACAAGGCUUAUAGAGAAUUGAGAGCUGCCAUUGACUUAGAUGUAGAAAGAAUAAAAGAGACUUUAACUGACCUCCAAAAAUCCCUGACCUCCCUCUCAGAAGUGGUCCAUCAGAAUAAGAUGAUUAGACCUGAUAUUCCUUGAAGAAGGAGGCUUGUGUGCUGCAUUAAAAGAAGAAUGUUGUUUUUAUAGAUCACUCAGGAAGAGAUAAAGACAAUUUGGCUAAGAUUAGAGAAGGAUUAGAACAAAGCUUUAGAGAGAGAGAGAGAGAGAGAGAGAGAGAGAGAGAGAGAGAGAUAGAGAGAGAGAGCACUCAAGACAAAUGUUGGUUUUAAACCUGGUUCAAUACUUCCCCUUGGUUAUCAACUCUAGUUUAUUGCUUAUUAGAGAAUAUAUGGUUGAGGCAACAAUACAGGCCCAUCACUAGUGAUGAGAUCGAGUUAUAAUUUUAAGAACAAAACCAGGAUUCAACAAUGAAGCACCUUGACUUCAGACUUGAUUUCCUCAAAGAGCCACAGCCCAGGCCACCAGGUCAGUCACAUGAAACUGAGGAAGGAUGGCAACAAACAAGUUAGAAAUGUAUCCUGACAUCCUCAGAGCUCUGAGCCAUGUUAGUAGCUCCUCCAAUGAAGACCUGAAACUAAUUUAUAUUAAAAAAUUAUUAUAUCUUACAGACAAUAUUAUUAUAUUCCAAAAAUUAGAUAAAUAUGGUACAAUAGGUAAGGUGUUAUAUACAGCAAAUACAAAAUUAUUGUGACUGAAGGGAAGAAAAAUCUAAAUGAAUAGAAAGCUAAUAAAUAAAGAAGCUAGAUUUAACUGAGAUAAUUAGAUCGAUCAUAAGGUCUGAGCCCUGUGAAUGGAUCAAUGCUGGGGAAAUUUCAGUCUUUGAUGCAAUGCUGUCUUAAGCAAUUAGCUCAAAUCCUGGGCCCCUCUGAAAGAUCAUUUGAAGUCAAAGUGUAGCAGGCAGAUGUCUCCCAAGGUGCUCCUAGGCAGUUACACCCUCCUAAAGAGAGGGCAUUUUCUGAGCAUACUGUGUCUCAAAUAGAAAAGAGAAUUUGUGUCUUUCCACAAUAUCUGAAUUUAUUGAAAUAACAAAGUCACAAGGUGUGGAGGUGUCCGAGGCAGGAAAUGGUCAGACAUUCCUACUUUCCUUGUUAACCUCUGCUGAGGUGAGCAGCUUUGGGUAAUCAUACAAUUUUAAUGAGGAAUAUUAGCACCUGAUCACAUAUUACAUACUAAAUCUAUCAACUUUCUUCCAUCCUGCUUCCCUUUCCUUUCUCUCUCUCUCUUCUUUCCUUCCUUACCAUUUGGGCUUCUUUGAUUGCUAGCUAUACAUAGGUUUUAUAAUCACUUUAAGGGACUAAGAGGCCACGGAAGCCUUGAGGUUUCAGAAGCCAGAUAACAGAAACACGGAGUCAGCAGUGAUAACAGAAGAAACAGAAGCUGCAGGGAAGCUGAAGACACAUCCUGGGUCUGAGACCAAAGGAAUAGCCACUCUCACUAAGACAAAGUCUGAGCCAAAAUGGUGUCCACAUCCCUUGAAAAGAAUUAGAGGAUGAUAAUGGUUUUUGGUGAGCUGCGAUUGGCACAUGACCUCACAAGCUGCCAUUGAGGUAGAAGAUCACCCACCGAAUGUACCAGCUGGAACUGGAUCUUGUGCACAAACGGCAGAAAGGCAGUUGGUUGGCUGUAGAGCAGCUGGACUCAGACUUUGGUUCUCAGAGAAUUUUAUUUUUUAUUGUCCCUCUUUGGAAUUGAACAUCGGUGAUCCUCACUGACCUGAACAUAAUGAGUUUGCUUCCUGAUCAGUUGGGGUUUUUGUCGUUUUGUUUUCUGUGCCUGGAUUUUGAGUUAUGGUUUAUUGUUUUGGGUUUAGUUUGUGCAUUUGCUUCAUGUGUUUUUUUUUAAAUUACUAGUAUCACCUGUUUUCUAUUGUUAUCUCCUCAUUUAUCUUUACAUUUUGUAUGUAGACUUAUUUCUUCACUGUAAAAGCUCUUGUUAGUAUAUAUCAGCUGUUAAAAAUAAGGACUUUAAUUAUACUUGGACCAUAGUCACCGGUUUGUUAUACCCCACCCCACCCCACCCUUCAAGCCUUUCUCUGUAGUGAUAAAUUCCCCUAUCACGUUAAAAGUCCUACCCUACCUAAUGCUGCCAUUCAAGAGACCAAACACCAUGGGUGAUCUUGAGGGAUGACAUAUUUCCUUAGGUCAACACAUUGUCACCAACAGGCUACCAUCUUUUUUGAUGCCUAAAACUAUGAGGUUAAGAAAAAGGAAGUAGGUCUCAUGCCUCUAGGUGGCAAAUAGAAGGUCUGCAGUAGUUGGUCAUUAGAGAAUUUAAGGGUCUGAGCCAAAAUGAUCUCUGCCUCUCUUGAAAUGCACUAGAGAAAGGGCCUUAAAGAAGCCCAUGUGUUCACUCUCCAGCCACAUCUUGAAUCCAAGUCAGCACAAAGCUCAUCCUUUUGUUACUGCGGCUCUCAUUCAGAUAAAAAAUGUCCUCUUCAAGGUUUGUGUGUGAGAGGUCACACCACCUCCUGUCUCUAAAAUGCUGGUCUCUUGCAGGAGUGUGUCUGGAGGAGUCAUUAAAGACCAGGACAGUGAACCCCAACAGGAGGAACUGGGUCACUAGAAGCAAGGGGAUUUGCCAAAUCAAUGUAAGCAGCGCUUCAGAUUCAUCUUCCCAAGUCUCCAGCCAUGCCUUCCCUGUUGUCUGAGAGUCUGGACCAAAAUAGAACCUGUGUAUUUUAUGUUGCUUCUUAGGGAUUUAGUCGUGGCAAUAAAAGCAAUGGAGUGCUUGGAGAUGGGAAGUGAAAACCUUCUUUUUUGAUUGUGAAGAGCCAUGAUGAUUGUCUCAUUUCUUGCUAUGACCUCAUUGGCACCAUUGUGAAAAAGUGCAGACUCAUCCCAUUGAAGGCUGGAAGUGGGGACAGGGAGAUGCUGGAUCUUGUCCACAUACUACACAGAACCUCACAGAUUGGUUCCUGUAGACUUUGGUAUUAUUGAUCUCCUGAAAACAGACAAUGAUUUGACAUCCAAGGAGUCAGUUUGUAUCCUGCUGUGCUGGUUUCGAUUUAUAUCUCUUAAUUGGUUUCUCAAUUAAGUUUUGGUUUAUCUUGAGUUUCUUGUUUUCUAGAGCCAUAAUUUUAUUCUUAAAUAAGCACAGUUCGUUAAUAUUUUUCUAUUUAAUUUUUUUUUACUUUAAAUUCGUCAUUAGUGUGAAUAAGAAGUAGACAAUAAAGAAUCUCAUCACGGUAAGUACUUGAAGACAUCCGCUGAACUGUUAUGUCCACUAACCUUUGCUGGGCUUAAAGCUUUUCUGUCCUGAUAACUAUCUUGCCAUGACCCCUCCUUGAAAAAACAAAAUCAUGCCAGCUGGACCCUAGCAUUGGUCCUGAUAAACUUUGGCUUCCUAAUCUCUUGGACCUUGAUAUGGGAAGGUUCCUCUUUGUUGGUUUGGUAUUUGUGUUGUUUUUCCCUUUUCAUUCACACACUCAAUUCUUUUGCUUGAAGCAUUGAUUUCUGCUUGUGUGUUAAAUGUUCUUAAUUGUUCCUUUGUCAACAGUUUGUGUCUGCCAUGUUUUCCUUUGGUUUCAUUUUCUUAUUUGAAACCUUCCCUGUAAGAUAAGGAAUUUCCCUGUGGCACUCCUAUACACUUGUGUAGUAAACUUGGGUCAUCAUCUAUUCUGUUCCACUGCAGCAGGCCCUGGGUGGCUGAAAGCCUCUCAUUUUUAUUAAGGUUCCAGCUACAUAUCCAUGGCCCUAUUUAGGCUGUCCUCAUCUCUGGAACUGACAUGUUGCAGACAGGCAACCCUCAGUCUGUUCACAUUUCAAAAAAAGACAAAAUUUCAUUCUUCAUGGCUGAGCAUGGGCCUCUUCACUUGUCCUCCUUAUAUGCUUCUUGUUGACCACUUGGUUUCUGGAAUUACCCUAAGAUCCUAUGCUGAACACUACGUGAACACAAAACACCAUCUCUAUCAUGCUGAAAUGUAUCUGACCUACAAAGUAAUCUCCUAACAGAUGUACACGUGAAUGUUCAAGAAUAUUGACAGAGGCAUUUAUGUGUGUGUGUGUGUAUGUAUGUAUGUGUGUAUGUAUGUUUGUGCAUGUGGCCUCUGUGUUCCCAUGUGCUGUUAUGGUUCUGACACCAGAGUAAAAUUGGCUUUGUAGGUUGUUUAUAAUGAUCUCAUCCCUUUUGUGAAGCAGCUUGAGCAUUCUUCUUCGUGGCACUUUACAGCCAAUAGUUAAGCUCUGUCACGCCAACCUUGGCUGGCAAGGAAGAUGCAACACUGUUGGAUUCUUCUCAACAGCCUUUAUUGCAGGACCACCUCAUUGCUGAUACGGGGACCUCGAGCGGCAAAGCGCUCGCCUUAUAUUCACAACAGGCUGGGGCUAUGCUAAUUGUCUUUCAGGGAUUGGUGGAGCACGAAUCACCCCACUAUCACCCUUCUACUUGUCCUCCAGGGAUUGGCGGAGCAUGAACCACCCCAUUAGCAUGGUACCACCCCGGCCAGAUUGACGCCAGGUGCAAACCCGCGCAUGCAUAGUACUGUUUUUCACCACAGGAGGGCGCCGGAUCACCUCAUUAUCCUAUGGCCGCCCUGGCAAGGGGACAAGCCUGCGCAUGCGUGACAAGUUGUUUACAUCCAGACGGGACUGGAUGUCAGCACCAUCUUUGUUUUACCGCGCCACUCCCUACAUCUCCCCCUUUUUUGUUUAAUAAAAGGACUGGUCUAGA